GCAGGGCAUGGUGGCACGCGCCUGUAAUCCCAGCGUCUUGGGAGGCUGAGGCAGGAGGAUUGCGAGCCAGCCUCAGCAAAAGCGACGCGAUAAGCAACUCAGUGAGACCCUGUCUCUA
rnacentral:sRNA from 1 species